GACGAACGCUGGCGGCGUGCUUAACACAUGCAAGUCGAACGAAGAGCGAUGGAAGCUUGCUUCUAUCACUCUUAGUGGCGAACGGGUGAGUAACGCGUAAUCAACCUGCCCUUCAGAGGGGGACAACAGUUGGAAACGACUGCUAAUACCGCAUACGAUCUAAUCUCGGCAUCGAGGAUAGAUGAAAGGUGGCCUCUACAUGUAAGCUAUCACUGAAGGAGGGGAUUGCGUCUGAUUAGCUAGUUGGAGGGGUAACGGCCCACCAAGGCGAUGAUCAGUGGCCGGUCUGAGAGGAUGAACGGCCACAUUGGGACUGAGACACGGCCCAGACUCCUACGGGAGGCAGCAGUGGGGAAUCUUCCGCAAUGGACGAAAGUCUGACGGAGCAACGCCGCGUGAGUGAUGACGGCCUUCGGGUUGUAAAGCUCUGUUAAUCGGGACGAAAGGCCUUCUUGCGAAUAGUGAGAAGGAUUGACGGUACCGGAAGAGAAAGCCACGGCUAACUACGUG
rnacentral:rRNA from 1 species